rnacentral:rRNA from 1 species
CCUACGGGAGGCUGCAGUGGGGAAUAUUGCACAAUGGGGGAAACCCUGAUGCAGCGACGCCGCGUGAGUGAAGAAGUAAUUCGUUACGUAAAGCUCUAUCAGCAGGGAAGAAACACUGACCUUACGGUCAGCAGACGGUACCUGAGUCAGAAGCCCCGGCUAACUACGUGCCAGCAGCCGCGGUAAUACGUAGGGGGCAAGCGUUCUCCGGAUUUACUGGGUGGAAAGGGAGCGUAGACGGUGCGCCAAGUCUGGAGUGAAAUGCCGCAGCUUAACUGCGGAACUGCUUUGGAAACUGGCGAACUAGAGUGCGGGAGGGGUAAGCGGAAUUCCUAGGGUAGCGGUGAAAUGCGUAGAGAUUAGGAGGAACACCGGUGGCGAAGGCGGCUUACUGGACCGUAACUGACGUUGAGGCGCGAAAGCGUGGGGAGCAAACAGGAUUAGAUACCCUUGUAGUC